rnacentral:rRNA from 1 species
CCUACGGGGGGCAGCAGUGGGGGAUAUUGCACAAUGGAGGAAACUCUGAUGCAGCGACGCCGCGUGAGGGAUGAAGGUCUUCGGAUCGUAAACCUCUGUCGGCAGGGAAGAACGGUCACUGUGCUAAUCAGCAGUGAAUUGACGGUACCUGCAAAGGAAGCACCGGCUAACUCCGUGCAGCAGCCGCGGUAAUACGGAGGGUGCGAGCGUUAAUCGGAAUUACUGGGCGUAAAGCGCUCGUCGGCGGUAUGUCAAGUCAAGGGUGAAAUCCCCGCGCUCAACGUGGGGACUGCCUUUGAAACUGG